rnacentral:rRNA from 1 species
GACGUAGGGCGCGAGCGUUGUCCGGAUUUAUUGGGCGUAAAGAGCUCGUAGGCGGCUUGUCGCGUCAACUGUGAAAACCCGUGGCUCAACCAUGUGGUCUGCAGUCGAUACGGGCAGGCUAGAAUUCGGUAGGGGAGACUGGAAUUCCUGGUGUAGCGGUGAAAUGCGCAGAUAUCAGGAGGAACACCGGUGGCGAAGGCGGGUCUCUGGGCCGAUAUUGACGCUGAGGAGCGAAAGCGUGGGGAGCGAACGGG